AGGGUGUAUAGCUCAGUGGUAGAGCAUUCGACUGCAGAUCGAGAGGUCUCUCACCGGUUCAAAUCCGGGUGCCCCUA